UACGGGGGGGGCAAGCGUUGUUCGGAAUUACUGGGCGUAAAGGGCUCGUAGGUGGCCAACUAAGUCAGACGUGAAAUCCCUCGGCUUAACCGGGGAACUGCGUCUGAUACUGGAUGGCUUGAGAUUGGGAGAGGGAUGCGGAAUUCCAGGUGUAGCGGUGAAAUGCGUAGAUAUCUGGAGGAACACCAAAGGCGAAGGCAGCAUUCUGGCAAGUACCUGACGCUCAGGGGCGAAAGCUAGGGGAGCGAACGGG
rnacentral:rRNA from 1 species